AUGCCCUGGUCUCUGCCUGCACCUGGUCUGGCUCUGAAACUUGCCUCUGUGAUGACAUCACCUCUUCUUUUCCUUAGGCCAAAGUUCACAUUGAAUUUAAUCAAGACUGCAGUGAGAACAGGAAUAAGCAAACUGCAAGAUAUGUGUGUGACAACUAAUGAAUGUAUCUCAGCAAAACUCCGCUGCCCGGAGAGGAGGAACGUCAACAGGUUAAUGACAGCCAUCAAAAAAGGAAAAAAAAAAAUCAAUGACAACAGCAAGAAAAUGAUUUCAAUGUAAUCAGGUUGCUCAUGAUACAUAUGUUGGAAAAAUUAAUUCAAAGGGCUUUUCUCCAUUUCUUCUGAGUAGGUAUCAAAGACACAGUACAAUUAAAACAAUGGAGGACAUCUUAUAUUGUACUUAUAUUGUCAACUCCGCUUUUUUUUUUUUUUUAAGAUUUUAUUUAUUUAUUUGACAGAGAGAGAGCACAAGCAAGGGAAGCAGCAGAGGGAGAAGCAGGCUCCUGCCGAGCAGGGAGCUUGAUGUGAUCCAGGGAUCAUGGCCAUAGCUGAAGGCAGAUGCUUAACCGACUAAGCCACACAGGGGCCCCUGCUCUUUUUUAUGCAAAGAUGAAAUACAAUUAAAACAAUGUAGGUCAUUUUACAUGAUA
rnacentral:lncRNA from 1 species